AUCAGUAAGCGGAGGAAAAGAAACUAACAAGGAUUCCCUUAGUAGCUGCGAGCGAACAGGGAUGAGCCCAGCACCGAACCUCGCGCCCGGUAAAGCGGGUGCCGAGGAAUGUGGUGUUCGGGAGGAUCGUGCGCGCCUGUCCGGUAUCAAUCGUCCAAGUCUCCAUGAACGGGGCGAGCAACCCACAGAGGGUGUCAGGCCCGUAGAUUAGAAGAGCCGAGACCGUGCAUUGGAUCCCUUCCCAAGAGUCGGGUUGCUUGAGCGUGCAGCCCUAAGCGGGAGGUAAACUCCUUCUAAGGCUAAAUAUCGCCACGAGACCGAUAGCGAACAAGUACCGCGAGGGAAAGUUGAAAAGAACUUUGAAGAGAGAGUUCAAGAGUGCGUGAAACCGUUCCAGGGGUUAAACGGGUGGGCCCUCGAAGGUCGAAAAGGAUCCCCGCUCCCGGUACUUGGUUGUAUGCCCUUGCUGCGAGAGACUUUCUGAAUUGAAGCUCGAUCGCCGGCUCGGACCGCAUUAGCCACGCCAAGACCCGCUAGUGGGGGACUUAGUAGGACUCCGCGACCGACUGGGUGUCUGUCAUACGGGACGUUUGUUAGCGAGUCUCGGUUGGCUUCGGCUGCUUUGACGAGCGCUGCGUUUUCUCGACAGUACUGCCCGGUCGUGACCUGUCUCUUUCUCGGAUCGCCUUUCGAGGUGAAGCCGUAGAAGCCAUUCAGAGCGGAGAGUAGAAGUCGGGUCCCACCCGACCCGUCUUGAAACACGGACCAAGGAGUCUAACAUGUGCGCGAGUCGUCGAGUAAAAAUACGAAACUCGCGAGGCGCAAUGAAAGUGAAUCGGCCCCGAUAAGGGUGAAUCCGAAAGGGGUGAUCCCGUCUCGAAUAGAGCGGGCGCAACCCCGGGGCGUCCGAAGCUGCGAGACUUUACUGUCGAGUCGGCCGGACGAACCCAGAGCGCACACGUUGGGACCCGAAAGAUGGUGACCUAUGCCUGGCCAGGACGAAGCCAGGGGAAACCCUGGUGGAGGUCCGCAGCGAUUCUGACGUGCAAAUCGAUCGUCGGAGUUGGGUAUAGGGGCGAAAGACUAAUCGAACCAUCUAGUAGCUGGUUCCCCCCGAAGUUUCCCUCAGGAUAGCUGGUGCUCGCAAAGAGAACAAACGGAGUUUCAUCCGGUAAAGCGAAUGAUUAGAGGCCUUGGGGUCGAAACGACCUCAACCUAUUCUCAAACUUUCAAUGGGUGAGAAGCCCGGCCUAUCUAUCUCUUGAUUGAGGCCGCGGCAAAAAACUGUCUGAAUCUGAGCGCCCAGUGGGCCAUUUUUGGUAAGCAGAACUGGCGCUGUGGGAUGAACCAAACGCCCGGUUAAGGCGCCUAAACGACGCACAUUUCGGAUCCCACGAAAAGGAGUUGGUUGCUAAAGACAGCAGGACGGUGGCCAUGGAGGUCGGAAUCCGCUCAGGAGUGUGUAACAACUCACCUGCCGAAGCAACUAGCCCUUAAAAUGGGAGGCGCUAUAGCGUCGUGCCUAUACCGGGCCGUCGGUCGGCAGAGCGAAUAACGUCAGUCAGCUCGAAGAGAGCGACGGCGCUGAGGCCCCGACGAGUAGGGGGGUCGCGACGGUGAGCGUUGAAGGGUUUUGGGCGUGAGCCUGCCCGGAGCCGCCGUCGGUGCAGAUCUUGGUGGUAGUAGCAAAUACUCCAGAGGGAUCCUGGAGGACUGACGUGGAGAAGGGUUUCGUGUGAACAGUGGUUGGACAUGAGUCAGUCGAUCCUAAGCCGCAGGCGAAAGCCGACCUAGUGACGGGCGUGAUUCUCUUUUUUUCUGGUGUAUCUUUUGAACUUUUGAACUUUUUCACACACACAAGUGAGAGAAAGAGAGAGAGAGAGAGAGAGACCAAAAAGAAAUCAUACGCGAAACGCCACCCAGGUUAAGGCGAAAGGGAAUCCGGUCCUGAUUCCGGAACCGGGCUGCGGCUACGUCCGCGAUAAACGACCUCAACCCUCGUUGUCACGGUCGCGGUAACGCGACACAAACCGGAGAAGCUGCCGAGAACCCCGGGAAGAGUUUUCUUUUCUGCUUGAGGGACCGAGACCCUGGAAUCCCGUCGCGGGGCGAGAGGGUUACGGAUUUAGCUGUCAAAGGCUAUCCCGAAGAGCGCCGCGUUUCUGCGGCGUCCGUGGUCGUUCUCGGCUGGCCCUUGAAAAUCCGGUGGGAGGGUUACGUUGUUGGACGUUCGCGCCCGCUCGUACCGAUAUCCGCAUCAGGUCUCCAAGGUGAACAGCCUCUAGUCGAUGGAUGAAUGUGGGUAAGGGAAAUCGGCAAAUUGGAUCCGUAACUUCGGGAUAAGGAUUGGCUCUGAGGGUCGAGGCGGUCGGGCUGAGUAAAUUUAAGCGAAGCCGGCGGCGGACGUGUCAGGCCUGGGUCGAGAGUUGAUUUCGUUUUAACCGACGAGAAAAGCUCAAGGCUCGGUCCUCGACCAGAUCGUUGCCGGUGGAGCGGCUCG
rnacentral:rRNA from 1 species